AUUGAACGCUGGCGGCAGGCCUAACACAUGCAAGUCGAGCGGGGGUAGCAAUACCCUAGCGGCGAACGGGUGAGGAAUGCUUGGGAAUCUGCCUGGUAGUGGGGGAUAACGUUCCGAAAGGAACGCUAAUACCGCAUACGUCCUACGGGAGAAAGGGGGGGAUCUUCGGACCUCUCGCUAUCAGAUGAGCCCAAGCGGGAUUAGCUAGUUGGUGAGGUAAAGGCUCACCAAGGCGACGAUCCCUAGCUGGUCUGAGAGGAUGAUCAGCCACACUGGAACUGAGACACGGUCCAGACUCCUACGGGAGGCAGCAGUGGGGAAUAUUGGACAAUGGGCGAAAGCCUGAUCCAGCCAUGCCGCGUGUGUGAAGAAGGCCUUCGGGUUGUAAAGCACUUUAAGCGAGGAGGAAGGUUCGUCACCUAAUACGUGACGGAAUUGACGUUACUCGCAGAAUAAGCACCGGCUAACUCUGUGCCAGCCGCCGCCGUAACAC
rnacentral:rRNA from 1 species